GAGGAUUCUCCGAGCACUGGGAGGUUAGCAUCCCCCAAGUGACCUUCGGUCCUGUCAUGGCAGAAUUAGCGGAGCAUUUCUUUGAACGAGGAAGCUCAUCUGCAGCAGCGGCGGCGGUGCCAGCCACCUCGGUCUUGUCGGCUUCUUUGGCGUCCAAAGACUCCAGCGAGGCCAUGACCACCUCUUCACCGGCGUCGAAGUCACUGUGCGUUGAAACUCCAACGGCACGCGACGUUUUCACGAUGAGAGAGAUUAGUGUCAAGAGCACCGUCAAAAUCUCUAGGAAGGCGGAGAGGUCGCUUUGACUUCACUUUCUCAGGUGAGGGCUCGCUAGAGAGGUCGCCGUUUCCGGCAGAGUUCGCCGCAGAGGUCAUCCGCACGCUAAAACCAGAAGAGUUCGUGGUGUUUCAUUUGGUAAACCCUAAUGACACUUACAGCUUCAAUUCGUUCCUUGAUUUGUUUGAUUCUUGCUUCGUAUUAGUGAAAUCGCGUUAUAUCAAAGGGUUUGAUUCUUCAAUGCCUCAAAUAC